UUUUAAAUUAAUUCAUAAUAUAAAAAUACUUUACCCUACUAACCCCAAACACAACUUCAUCAAAACAGAACAUUUCACGUAGAAACAAUUGUUAGAUUUAAGUACAAAAAUGUAUUAAUAUAUUUCAAGGAAAGCUGCAACUUGAACUUGGCCCCACGUCAUAUAUCAGAAAUCAUAAGCUUCACGCGACAACAAAUAAAAAAGAAGCAUGAAAUUGUAAUAAUUCCAACAAACCGACAGGCUUGGCCUAGUAUGUUUCUGCCUAGGGUGAGAGUUGGUGGAGAUGGGAGUGAGGAUGAGGAUGGGAUAUGGAUGUGGAUGCGGAUGUG